rnacentral:rRNA from 1 species
AUUGAACGCUGGCGGCAUGCCUUACACAUGCAAGUCGAACGGCAGCACGGACUUCGGUCUGGUGGCGAGUGGCGAACGGGUGAGUAAUAUAUCGGAACAUACCUUGUAGUGGGGGAUAACUAUCCGAAAGGAUAGCUAAUACCGCAUACGCUCUAUGGAGGAAAGCGGGGGAUCGUAAGACCUCGUGCUAUAAGAGUGGCCGAUAUCUGAUUAGCUAGUUGGUGAGGUAAAGGCUCACCAAGGCGACGAUCAGUAGCUGGUCUGAGAGGACGACCAGCCACACUGGAACUGGGACACGGUCCAGACUCCUACGGGAGGCAGCAGGGGGGAAUUUUGGACAGGGGGGGCAACCCUUAUCCAGCAAUGCCGCGUGAGUGAAGAAGGCCUUCGGGUUGUAAAGCUCUUUUGUCAGGGAAGAAACGGUUGUGGCUAAUAUCCAUGGCUAAUGACGGUACCUGAAGAAUAAGCACCGGCUAACUACGUGCCAGCCGCCGCCGUAA